UAGGGUUUCUGUAUACAUUUUGAUAACC
rnacentral:sRNA from 1 species